rnacentral:rRNA from 1 species
UGGGGAAUAUUGGACAAUGGGGGGAACCCUGAUCCAGCCAUGCCGCGUGUGUGAAGAAGGCCUUAUGGUUGUAAAGCACUUUAAGCGAGGAGGAGGGUACUGGUAUUAAUACUACCAGCUACUGGACGUUACUCGCAGAAUAAGCACCGGCUAACUCUGUGCCAGCAGCCGCGGUAAUACAGAGGGUGCGAGCGUUAAUCGGAUUUACUGGGCGUAAAGCGUGCGUAGGCGGCUAAUUGAGUCGGAUGUGAAAUCCCCGAGCUUAACUUGGGAAUUGCAUUCGAUACUGGUUAGCUAGAGUGUGGGAGAGGAUGGUAGAAUUCCAGGUGUAGCGGUGAAAUGCGUAGAGAUCUGGAGGAAUACCGAUGGCGAAGGCAGACAUCUGGCCUAACACUGACGCUGAGGUACGAAAGCAUGGGGAGCAAACAGG